rnacentral:misc_RNA from 1 species
CAGUGCGGGUAUCUGUGACUGCCGUAUAGAGAACGACCGCGGAGAAAAACCGAAAGAACGGCGACAUCUCCCUCUAUCAACCUCUUGUUUUCGAUGACAAGCAGAACAGAAAAGAACAAACGCGGCAUAUGCGUAACUUGACAUGAGUCCUACAACCUGACAACUAACCUCAACACCUAUGUUUCCUUUUUUUCUUUCGGAGUUCUCUUUCCCACUCUUUUUCAGCCUCUCCGAUCUUUUUAUCUUCAUACGCGUUUCUCUGUUCUUCGCUUUUUCGCUGCCCCCUUUGUAUGUGUGUGCGCGUGUACUUCUCCAUCCUGUUUCUGUUCUUUCCCGACUAUGCUUCAACUUUUUCAUUCUUAUGUUCUUACUGUUGUCCCAACCCCCUUAAGGCAGGGGUGGGGGGGGGGUCUAAGCGUGUUGUCCAGGGUCCGUUACACCCCGCGUUGUGUGUGAGGAAGGCAAGCACCCCCUGUCCCCUGCCAAUGCCGAACAACCUCUGGUGGUGGCAGGGCCAAGCAGCUGUGACGUAGGGGUGGACAGGGCGAUGUGUCGCUGCUGAUGUCGGCGGUCAGGUCGUGGAUGGCGUUGCGCCGGAGCGGCCUGCGGCAGUGAACGCACUUGCGCCAUCCAUCUGGUGGGCAUGGUGUCGCCGCAGCUCGAGCGCAUCCCCGCCCCGCGCCUCACACUGCCUGCUGGCGGGGGGAGCCUGAGCUACCCCGAGGGACGCACGAGGUGGGGACCGGCGCAAUGUGAGCCGCUGUGAGGCGGCCUCCGCUUCGCAGGCCGGUAGUGUUUUGAGGCAGAGGCCAUGCUCGGAUGACGGAGUCGGCGCAUUGCUGUAGAGCGUGUGCACGACUGCUUUGCGCCACGCGAUGGGGGCCUGCGACAUGCCGGGUGGAGUGUUGUCGAGCUCACGUUGUGGCGGAGAACGGACACGUUGAAGAAAACUGUUUGCUACAACCGUGUUUUUUCUACGUUCUCAUUUGCUUUCAACCCCUAAAGUUUUUUCGGUCAACUGCCUAAGACUCUAUGGAGUUUCCUUCUUUUGGAGUUUCGAG